rnacentral:rRNA from 1 species
UACGUAGGGUGCAAGCGUUAAUCGGAAUUACUGGGCGUAAAGCGUGCGCAGGCGGCUAUGCAAGACAGAUGUGAAAUCCCCGGGCUCAACCUGGGAACUGCAUUUGUGACUGCAUAGCUAGAGUACGGUAGAGGGGGAUGGAAAUUCCGCGUGUAGCAGUGAAAUGCGUAGAUAUGCGGAGGAACACCGAUGGCGAAGGCAAUCCCCUGGACCUGUACUGACGCUCAUGCACGAAAGCGUGGGGAGCAAACAGG